rnacentral:rRNA from 1 species
GAUGAACGCUGGCGGCGUGCCUAAUACAUGCAAGUCGAGCGCUGAAGCUUGGUACUUGUACUAACUGGAUGAGCAGCGCACGGGUGAGUAACGCGUGGGGAAUCUGCCUUUGAGCGGGGGACAACUUUUGGAAACGAAUGCUAAUACCGCAUAAAAAUUUUAAACACAAGUUUUAAGAUUGAAAGAUGCAAUUGCAUCACUCAAAGAUGAUCCCGCGUUGUAUUAGCUAGUUGGUGAGGUAAAGGCUCACCAAGGCGAUGAUACAUAGCCGACCUGAGAGGGUGAUCGGCCACCAUGGGACUGAGACACGGCCCAAACGCCUUCGGGAGGCAGCCGGAGGGAAACUUCGGCCAUGGGCGGAAGUCUUACCGAGAAACGCCGCAGGAGUGAAGAAGGUUGUCGGAUCGUAAAACUCUGUUGGUAGAGAAGAACGUUGGUGAGAGUGGAAAGCUCAUCAAGUGACGGUAACUACCCAGAAAGGGACGGCUAACUACGUG